GACGAACGCUGGCGGCGUGCCUAAUACAUGCAAGUCGAGCGAAGUUUUUCUGGUGCUUGCACUAGAAAAACUUAGCGGCGAACGGGUGAGUAACACGUAAAGAACCUGCCUCAUAGACUGGGACAACUAUUGGAAACGAUAGCUAAUACCGGAUAACAGUAUUUCUCGCAUGGGAGAUAUUUAAAAGUUGGUUAUGCUAACACUAUGAGAUGGCUUUGCGGUGCAUUAGCUAGUUGGUGGGGUAAAGGCCCACCAAGGCGACGAUGCAUAGCCGACCUGAGAGGGUGAUCGGCCACACUGGGACUGAGACACGGCCCAGACUCCUACGGGAGGCAGCAGUAGGGAAUCUUCCGCAAUGGGCGAAAGCCUGACGGAGCAACGCCGCGUGAGUGAAGAAGGAUUUCGGUUCGUAAAGCUCUGUUGUUAGGGAAGAAUGGAUAUGUAGUAACUAUACAUGUACGAGACG
rnacentral:rRNA from 1 species